rnacentral:rRNA from 1 species
UUCUAUUAGAACUAAUUAAUAGUAAAAUCUGCUCAAUGAACAUUAAAUAGCCGCAAUUGUGCUAAGGUAGCAUAAUCAUUCGUCUUUUAAUUAAAGGCUAGAACAAAAGAUUCCACAUUUCAAUUUAUUUUCCAUUUUUAGUAAUUUAAAUUAUUAAAAAUGUAAAAAAACAUUUAUUUUAAAGAAAGACGACAAGACCCUAUUAAACUUCACUUAUGUUUAACUGGGGAAGUUAAUUAAUUAUUAUUUUAAUUCUUUUUCCUCUAUAAAUAUCAAUAACAGAUUAAUUAACAAGUUACUAUAGGGAUAACAGCGUAAUUUUUUUUUAAAGUUCUCAUUAAAUAAAAAGAUUGCGACCUCGAUGUUGAAUAAUAUUCUUUUAUACGCAAUAGUACAAAAAGAAAGUCUGUUCGACUUUUCAAAAAUUACA